rnacentral:rRNA from 1 species
UAGGGAAUCUUCCACAAUGGACGCAAGUCUGAUGGAGCAACGCCGCGUGAGUGAAGAAGGUCUUCGGAUCGUAAAGCUCUGUUGUUGGUGAAGAAGGAUAGAGGCAGUAACUGGUCUUUAUUUGACGGUAAUCAACCAGAAAGUCACGGCUAACUACGUGCCAGCAGCCGCGGUAAUACGUAGGUGGCAAGCGUUGUCCGGAUUUAUUGGGCGUAAAGCGAGCGCAGGCGGAAUGAUAAGUCUGAUGUGAAAGCCCACGGCUCAACCGUGGAACUGCAUCGGAAACUGUCAUUCUUGAGUGCAGAAGAGGAGAGUGGAACUCCAUGUGUAGCGGUGGAAUGCGUAGAUAUAUGGAAGAACACCAGUGGCGAAGGCGGCUCUCUGGUCUGCAACUGACGCUGAGGCUCGAAAGCAUGGGUAGCGAACAGGAUUAGAUACCCUGGUAGUCCAUGCCGUAAACGAUGAGCGCUAGGUGUUGGGGACUUUCCGGUCCUCAGUGCCGCAGCAAAUCGC